ensembl:lncRNA
GGAAAAGUCUUGUUUAGUCUAUGAAAACAAUGCUGCAGGCAUUUUCUAACAAUACCCCAGAAUGCAUUACUCAGUGAGAGAUCUAUUUAAAUUAGAGGACAACGAGGUAUAAGAGCUAACUGCAAAGGAUGGUCACAGUUAGUUUUGACUUAGCAUCUUUCUAACUAUUAGAGGAAUUAAAUUCCUGAACAAUGGGAGCAACGAGGAAAAAUAAUUCACCUGGCUUUAAAAAAGAGUUAGACCACUGCAUGUAAGGGACUACAUACACAGUUGCCUGCAACAGCAGGAGCUUGUGUUCCAGGAUGUAUUUGUGGAAAUGAGAGAAAAACCAAGAUCAAGAAGACAAGUGCUACUUAAGUUACUGAAGAUACACCUUGCAGCAAUACUUGAGUUAUUAUGUUUGCUCUAACCUGAAACUUCUUCACUAAAUCAGGAAAUAAGGACUCAAAGAAUCUUCUUUUUUAUCCACACACAGCAGCUCUGCUUCAUUUUCUAUAAUCACUGAGAAGCUUUACUGGCAACGAAUUAGAAGAGCAUGACCCCCUUGCAGCCUGGCUCAGCCCAAGAAAAGUGAAAGACAGCAAGACAGCAGCCAUGAGGGACAGAGGGAGAGAUGUCUGAAAAGUCCAUCUGCUUCCUUGCACAACCUUGAUUUCCAAUAUACUGAGUCACAGAUCAAAUGAAAGAAGUUCCUGGUAGACCUGCUGCCUCAGCCCACUUACAACAGGGAGAAGACUAAUUGCACUCUGCAAAGGACCUGCAGAAACUCCUGUAAGAGACAUCUUCUGUGAGAAAAGUACUUCCUGGUGGCCCACAGAUACUGUCCAGGCUACAGACUCUUCCCUCUUCCAUUUCCAACACGUAGCACGUACAAAGACCAGAAGUCAUCCUCCAGCAAGGACUGCUUUCUCCAAAGGUAAAUCACUGGCUGUGUUGGCACUGCCUUCAUUUUUCUGACUACCUCCCCUCUGCAGCCUGAUAAAGAGCGAGGUUCAGCUGCAGGCUGAUAAGCAUGUGAGAACAUGGGGAAAUCGUGUAAUUUGGGGAUGUCAGGUGAAUGAUGUCAGAUGAGUGUAUGUUUUCACUUCAGUCAUAAUCUCUC